CUUUUCACUUGUUCCAGCAACUUUAAUCUUCCACCCACAGCUGUACAAUUGUUCAGCCCCAACGGUGAUCCACACAAAAAAAGAUUGUAAUAUUAGGGUUUUUCUUGUGAUAGCAAGAAUAAAUGAGAAAAUCUCUACAAUUUUGAAAACCUUAAUCAUAUUUAUAUAAGCCCAAACGGAUUUGGCCUGACUCGGUCCAACAUUUAAUUAACCCAUUUAAUUAAAUUCGAUUUGUGAGUUAAUUAAUCCAAUUAAUCAAUUCAGGCCUAUAAAUAAGCAACCCAAUUAAUUAAUUUAUCCAACACUUGUUAAAUUAAUUAAUUCACAAAUCACAAUCUUCUAGUUCUCCUUUUGUGUGUGACCCAUCAGGUUCCCGAUUACGAUGUCUAACGACGUGAAAUAUUAUUUUGAUCUAAUCAAAAUUGAUCAAUUAAAAUAUUUUAUUUAAUUUAUCACCAAUACUCACUCGUAUUAAUUAUAUAUUGAAAUUAUUUAUAUCCAAAGUUGAUUGAACUUAGAGUAUAACACUCACACUUACAAUUUGACAAUUGAUUACCAUAAUUCUCAUCAAAAUCAAUAUGAUUUAGAAAAUUCAAAUUUUGGAAGUUAGAUAGGAAAGUUGCACAGCGACAUGGAAGGAUUCGAAAAACUUGAGCCUGUUCUGCCAGCAAUUGAAUUCCUAGAAAAGUCUGGAAUUUACGUUGGAUGACAGUGUUUACUUCUUAAGGGCUGACAAUUGAUAGAUGCCUAGAACUGAUGUAAUCACAUGAUUUUCAGUAAUCUUAUCUCAUUAUGAUUCGUGGGACAUAUUCGAAAAGCCUGAGCCUUUAUAUUGAGGCCAACCAUCAAAAUCCAUUCACAAAAUCACAUAGAUUACCCUAUGAUUAUCAAAAGCCAUUCGCAAAUUAGAUGGUUAUCACAAGCCAAAGUUGUUAUUAUAUUAUCUUUCAAGUCCAUGAUUUUCAGUAAUCUUAUCUUUUGAUGAUUUUGUUAAAAUUAAUUUAAUCAGCUCUUACAGUAUACGGACAAAACGAUUUGUUUAUGAAAUCAAUUUCCUGCAUAACGCAUGACACAAGCAGAAUAUAAAGCUUACUAUGACAGAAAUGUGAAUUUGACGGAACAUACGUCUAUUUUAAGGGGCAACAGAAUUUAAGACUACCCAAACUGGAACACUAUUUCACCUAUAAGUAAUUAACCAAUAAAUUAUUUUGCAUUUGGUUAACAUUAAAUAUGAUGGACAGAUCAAAUUUAGGUAAAGGUGAAAGAAUCAUUUAUCACAUUUUUAUGGCGGUUUUAGAUGCAAAAUACAAUAAUUUGUCACAUUUUAACUAAUAAUCAAAAUUCUCUAUUCAAUUGAGAAACAAUAAGAUACAAAAUUAGGCUGAAAAUAAACAUGAUAACAUAAUUCUUUAUCAUUAAUGAUUCAAAAUAUGAAGAAAGAUAGUUUUUUACUGUUAACAUGAUAUAUUUAAGGACAAUAUGGAAGAAAUACAUCAGAUAAUGUUUAGGUGCAGCAUGUCAUUCAUCAUAAUUUAUUACCUAUGACACGACCGGUCCCGAAUCACUCCAGUGGACCCGAAACAUGACGUACGCCAAUGAUAGAUGCUGACUAGAUGUCAAAUCUAUCACCAAGGCUGACCAUGAGUUAUUUCAAGAUAUGCAACAAAAUCAAAUGCUUAUGUAAGACAUAAUGUGAUGGUCCCAAAAUAUUUACUCCGUGCUUCAUCAAUAAGAGUUAUAAUAUUUAAUAUAUCGUGUGGUUGUCAUUCCGAAAUCAUUAGGAUCUUUCAGCUAAAAAGAAUCAAUUGCUACAUGUAGGAUAAAUUACGGGAAAAUAUAUGAGUUGAUAGUUCAGUGAGUGGAGAAGUUCGAAAAUAAUUAUACCUUUUCAUUUAUACAUUUUUAUUGAAAAUCAAAUUCACAUCAUUUGAUAAUUCACAAGUUACCAUCAUGUAUUUAUAGUCAAAAAGUGAAAUAUUCACAUAAGGUCAUAAAAUAUCAUUUUAAAAUCAUGACAUAAACAUCAGUUGAUGACCAUGCUAUAAUCUCAUAAUAUCAAACGUGCUGAAAAAAUCCAUAAAAAAUGUACCCUCUGACUGAAAUAUAUAAUCCGCCCCUCGGGCUAAAAACUUUCGCCACGAGCCUUUGGUCCCUCCGUGAAUGAAAGUCAAUCUCAAAAAUCUCUCAUAAUCAAUUCUAGAAUACGGUCAAGAUCUCUCAGUGAACUAUAUGUGCACGGUCGAGACCCCUUCAUCUCUGGUCCAAGACCACUCAGUGUAGUAUAGAACACGAUUAAGGCCCCUCAGUGAACUAGAAGAAAUAUAUCAUCACGGGUAUUUUUCUGAUUGAUCUCAAAAUCAUAUCUCAUAUUCCAAUUUACAAUGUAACGUAUACAAUUUUUGAAAUUCCACAUGUAUCAUAAUAAAAGAUAUUUUCAUAAUAACCAUGUAAUUCAAACACAUAUUUGCAUAUAAUUACACAUACUUUAACAAUAAACUUAAUUUAUAAAUACUUUAAAAUAUUUAUAUUUUUCCACUCACAGUACUAUGUUCGCAAAAUCAAUCAAGUUGGUAAACUGUUGUGAUGUUAGUAUCGUCGCCUGAAAUACGAUAUAAUUUUUAAAUAAACAAUUAAUUAUUUUAAAUAAUUUCAAUAAUUAAAUAGGUUAUACUCAAACUUAAUCAUUUCACGUUUAAGCGAUUUCUACAAUCUCUUUAAUCACUAAAACUAGUUUUUCUUUCAUUUUAUUCAAUUUCAUAGUUUAUUAUACUUAACCCUUUCAAUAAAAUUGAAUUUAGUCUAACAAUAUAACAACUAUAAAAUCAAAUAUAACUUAACAAUAAGUAACUUUUUACCUACCUUUCAAAAUUGAGGAAUUCAAACCUAAUAAUGUAGACCACUUAAUUUUCAACACGUUGGUANNNNNNNNNNNNNNNNNNNNNNNNNNNNNNNNNNNNNNNNNNNNNNNNNNNNNNNNNNNNNCCCCCCCCCCUUUUUCUCUCUCUUCUCUUUCUCGUUCUCUCUGACUCUCUAUAUAUAUGGAAAUGAAAUGGGUUUGUUUCAUUUGUGUGAAUCACCGCCUGACCCCUUUUUUUUUUGGCUUGGCUUGACAAUUUUGACUUUUCCUUAUUAUUAUUAUUAUUAUUUUAAGGUGUUACAACCUAGUAGAAACUAUAAUAAAUAAUAUGCACGCUAAAAGGAGGCACUUGGAAUCAAUUCGGAACCAGCGACUAAAAUUGAAUCGUUCACCCAAUUUAAAUUGAAUAAAUCUAGCGUUUCUGGAGAUGUGAGUAGAAUCAGUUCAAAUAUGUUUAAAUUUUCUUCUUACGUUUUUUAUACUGUAUCUAAAGGAUUAAUUAAAUCAAUGAGUGCAAACAUCAAGGAAUAAACCAGGGAUUGUCCAGUUGAAGAAGAACAAGAAAGUAACUCAAAAAUAGCAACGAAGAAUUAAAAGCGACCAAUAGUGGAGGGAGUGGCAUCUCUGAGGAUGACUGCAAUGGUUCUCAAGAACUAAAUGAAGGGGAAAACUUAAGACAGUCAAAAAUCAAAUGGAAAAGCAAGAGCUAGCAGGGGUUCUACAACUUAUCCUCAAAGUCUUUAUGCAAGGGUAGGUAAUAACUUGACAUGAUCGGAAUAAGGUUAUAUACAUUCUCAACGAGUUGUUCAAGGGUUUCUGAUAUCAUUUUAUCCAAUUUUGCAGAGAAAAAGAGAAAGGAUUAAUGAGAGAUUGAAAAUCUUGUUGAACCUUGUCCCAAAUGGAACAAAGGUAAAUCAUUAAAUGAAACUCUAUCAAACUAAUGUUCUUCCAAAAUCUAGAGGGUAGUAUCAAAGAUGGCUUCGCCCUUGUUUGUAUCACAAAAAAUUACUUGUAAAUUAUAAAGAAAUGAAUUACAGGCAGAUCAUUGAAUGAAAUUCAUCACCUUGAAAUUAAAAUCAGAACAAAUAUUAAAAUAAAUUUUUUACAAUACCAACUCCAAUUUCACUCCCCUAAGCAUAAUGUCACAAUUGAUAAAGCCCAUUUUAAUAAAACAAAAUUUUUUUGUAGUUAAUUCUACUUUUUUUUUCUUCAAAAAAGUAAACUAAAAUUAUCAUGAAAACUUCACAAUCCGCCAACAACUACAUUCAGUUCAAAAUGGGGAAACAAAGAAAAUAAUUAAAACUAUACUAAUCAAGCAUCAUUAAAAACGUAAAAUUUCUGUUUGAAAAAAGAUAUAUUCGAAUAAUUAAUUAAAGAUUAAAACUUUCAUAUAAAUCCAAUGGUUCAUAUUAAACAAAUUCUUUGAAUUUCAGAAAAAUCAAUAAAAGCACCAGAUUUAUUUAAAAAAAGCCAAAAAAUUAAUUGAAGAUUAAAACAAAGCUGAUAGGAAUACCUUUAAGACUGCUUGCAGAACACAAAAUUUGUACGUAGUAGAUUAAGCCGAAAUUCAUUGACCAAAAAUAAUGUGGUGGCAGAUGAAGAGAUUGGGACUGCAAGCAAAUUGAAUUAAUUAGGUUUUGGUAGCAAUCAAUGAUGAGAUUAAGCCAAAAAGCGAGAAUAAUUUUUGGUGAAAUUUCUGGAGGCAAAUAAAGGGGAAUGUAUGUCGUGCGUUUAGAUUUUAGAGUGGGUAUGCGAG
rnacentral:lncRNA from 1 species